UACGUAGGGGGCAAGCGUUGUCCGGAAUCAUUGGGCGUAAAGCGCGUGUAGGCGGCUCGGUAAGUCUGCUGUGAAAGUCCAGGGCUCAACCCUGGGAUGCCGGUGGAUACUGUCGAGCUCGAGUCCGGAAGAGGCGAGUGGAAUUCCUGGUGUAGCGGUGAAAUGCGCAGAUAUCAGGAGAAACACCAAUGGCGAAGGCAGCUCGCUGGGACGUGACUGACGCUGAGACGCGAAAGCGUGGGGAGCAAACAGG
rnacentral:rRNA from 1 species